UCCGAGUUGACCCCGGCAGUCUCCCACGAGUCCCCGCCAUUACGCGCUGGCAACAUAGGAUAAGGGUUGCGCUCGUUGCGGGACUUAACCCAACAUCUCACGACACGAGCUGACGACAGCCAUGCACCACCUGUACACCGGCCUUGCGGAGGCCAUGUCUCCACAGCUUUCCAGUGUAUGUCAAACCCAGGUAAGGUUCUUCGCGUUGCAUCGAAUUAAUCCACAUGCUCCACCGCUUGUGCGGGCCCCCGUCAAUUCCUUUGAGUUUCAGCCUUGCGGCCGUACUCCCCAGGCGGGGCACUUAAUGCGUUAGCGCCGGCCCUCGGGGGGUCGCUCCCCCAAGCGCCUAGUGCCCAUCGUUUACGGCGUGGACUAC
rnacentral:misc_RNA from 1 species